UGGGGAAUAUUGCACAAUGGGCGCAAGCCUGAUGCAGCGACGCCGCGUGAGGGAUGACGGCCUUCGGGUUGUAAACCUCUUUCAGUAGGGAAGAAGCCACUUGUGGUGACGGUACCUGCAGAAGAAGCGCCGGCUAACUACGUGCCAGCAGCCGCGGUAAUACGUAGGGCGCAAGCGUUGUCCGGAAUUAUUGGGCGUAAAGAGCUCGUAGGCGGUUUGUCGCGUCUGCUGUGAAAUCCUCAGGCUCAACUUGGGGCGUGCAGUGGGUACGGGCAGACUAGAGUGCGGUAGGGGAGACUGGAAUUCCUGGUGUAGCGGUGGAAUGCGCAGAUAUCAGGAGGAACACCGAUGGCGAAGGCAGGUCUCUGGGCCGUUACUGACGCUGAGGAGCGAAAGCAUGGGGAGCGAACAGG
rnacentral:rRNA from 1 species